AUUGAACGCUGGCGGCAGGCCUAACACAUGCAAGUCGAGCGGCAGCGGGAAAGUAGCUUGCUACUUUUGCCGGCGAGCGGCGGACGGGUGAGUAAUGCCUGGGGAUCUGCCCAGUCGAGGGGGAUAACUACUGGAAACGGUAGCUAAUACCGCAUACGCCCUACGGGGGAAAGCAGGGGACCUUCGGGCCUUGCGCGAUUGGAUGAACCCAGGUGGGAUUAGCUAGUUGGUGAGGUAAUGGCUCACCAAGGCGACGAUCCCUAGCUGGUCUGAGAGGAGGGACAGCCACACUGGAACUGAGACACGGUCCAGACUCCUACGGGGGGCAGCAGUGGGGAAUAUUGCACAAUGGGGGAAACCCUGAUGCAGCCAUGCCGCGUGUGUGAAGAAGGCCUUCGGGUUGUAAAGCACUUUCAGCGAGGAGGAAAGGUUGGUAGCUAUAACUGCCAGCUGUGACGUUACUCGCAGAAGAAGCACCGGCUAACUCCGUGCCAGCCGCCGCUGUAA
rnacentral:rRNA from 1 species